UUCUCAUCCAAUCACCAAAGUUAAGCAAUGUAGAGCCUGCUCAGUACUUAGAUGGGUAACCACUUGGGAAUACCAGGUGCUGUAA